AAAGAUUUCUCAUUACUUAGAAUUAGAGUUAAACCUAGAGUAAAGGAGAAUUUGAGUCCCAUUGAAAUCUUAUAUGGGAUGCCAUAUCAAUUUCUAUUUAGUGGAGAGGAUCUAACGCAGUUAGGAUCAGAAUAUUUAUAUGCUUAUAUAACUGAACUUCAGAAACAAUUAAAUAAAGUACAUAAAUUGAUUUUAGGGACCAGGGCUAGAGGGCUGGAUCAACCAAUCCACCCCUUUAAGCCCAGGGAUUAUGUAUAUAAAGACUUUUUCAGGACAACCCCUAGAAGAAAGAUGGACCGGACCAUAUCAGGUAAUUGGACGGGAA